rnacentral:rRNA from 1 species
UACGUAGGGGGGCUAGCGUUGUCCGGAAUCAUUGGGCGUAAAGCGCGUGUAGGCGGCCCGGUAAGUCCGCUGUGAAAGUCGGGGGCUCAACCCUCGGAUGCCGGUGGAUACUGUCGGGCUUGAGUGCGGAAGAGGCGAGUGGAAUUCCUGGUGUAGCGGUGAAAUGCGCAGAUAUCAGGAGGAACACCAAUUGCGAAGGCAGCUCGCUGGGACGUUACUGACGCUGAGACGCGAAAGCGUGGGGAGCAAACAGG